GACGAACGCUGGCGGCGUGCUUAACACAUGCAAGUCGGACGGAAAGGCCCUGCUUGCAGGGUACUCGAGUGGCGAACGGGUGAGUAACACGUGGGUGAUCUGCCCUGCACUUCGGGAUAAGCCUGGGAAACUGGGUCUAAUACCGGAUAGGAGCCAUUUUUAGUGUGAUGGUUGGAAAGUUUUUUUCGGUGUAGGAUGAGCUCGCGGCCUAUCAGCUUGUUGGUGGGGUAAUGGCCUACCAAGGCGGCGACGGGUAGCCGGCCUGAGAGGGUGGACGGCCACAUUGGGACUGAGAUACGGCCCAGACUCCUACGGGAGGCAGCAGUGGGGAAUAUUGCACAAUGGGCGCAAGCCUGAUGCAGCGACGCCGCGUGGGGGAUGACGGCCUUCGGGUUGUAAACUCCUUUCGCUAGGGGCGAAGCUUUUUGUGACGGUACCUAGAUAAGAAGCACCGGCUAACUACGUG
rnacentral:rRNA from 1 species